AUUGAACGCUGGCGGCAUGCUUUACACAUGCAAGUCGAACGGUAACAGGCCUUCGGGCGCUGACGAGUGGCGAACGGGUGAGUAAUGCAUCGGAACGUGCCCAGUCGUGGGGGAUGACGCAGCGAAAGCUGUGCUAAUACCGCAUACGAUCUGCGGAUGAAAGCGGGGGACCUUCGGGCCUCGCGCGAUUGGAGCGGCCGAUGUCAGAUUAGGUAGUUGGUGGGGUAAAGGCUCACCAAGCCAACGAUCUGUAGCUGGUCUGAGAGGACGACCAGCCACACUGGGACUGAGCCACGGCCCAGACGCCUACGGGAGGCAGCAGUGGGGAAUUUUGGACAAUGGGCGCAAGCCUGAUCCAGCAAUGCCGCGUGCAGGAAGAAGGCCUUCGGGUUGUAAACUGCUUUUGUACGGAGCGAAAAGGCUCCCUCUAAUACAGGGGGCUCAUGACGGUACCGUAAGAAUAAGCACCGGCUAACUACGUGCCAGCCGCCGCAGUAACAC
rnacentral:rRNA from 1 species